UAAUAAAAUCAGUAAGAUUAACUGAUAUUAUCAGUAAAGCGGGGUUUACUAAAUAUGGGUAACCGAAAUUCACUCAUAUAUGGGUGAAAAAACCAUCUUGUUUUCUAAAUGGCAUUUCUCGAAUAUCUGUAACUUUUGAUCUUUUAAAUAUGUUCGAAAGCACAUAUUCAUGCAGGAAACAAAACUCGGCGUCCAUUGCGGUAACCACCGGAUCCCUAUCAGCGAGGUGGAAGUGCAAGCGGAAGCAGUCCAGAGCUGACAUCUUUUCCAACUACCGUACCGUGUCAGAACCAAAAGCUCGAGAAUAACAUGAAACUAAAAACCAAAGCCCGGCGGAACCAUAUCAAAGAUAUCACGGAGACCGAAAAAACCCUCUUGCCACUUGUUCCACCUCCGCUAGGUCUUGAGGAUAUUGUGUCGAAAGACUGUGGGAUUAUUUGGAUACCAGUUGACCGCUGCAUCAGGAAGCACUUGACUUCACCAAUCGUGGAGUGGCAUAGGACCUUGGAUAGGAGUAUGAUUUCUGUAUUCCAAAAGUGCUACAAUUAUCAUCUGAAGCACUAUCAGUUCCGGGUCGGUACCGGUUGAAUCCAGAUAGCAGAUUUUGAUUCAGAAGGUCUUUAUGGAUUCUAAUAACAAAGCCUUGUAGGGCAAUUAUAUAUAUAAGUUAAAUCACGGGGAUUCGAACAUGAGUUUUUAAAAAAAGAACGUCUACUCUAAAUCACUGUUAAACCAAGAAUGAUAAUUAUAUUCAAUUCUACUUAGAGCUAACCUAUGUAACUGAAUACUAGCUGACCUACACUUUCCGAAGCCUGUCCAAGGGUCGAUCACUGUUGUCGUCGUUGUCCGGAUGUUAUUUUGUUGAUGCCGCAGUUUAUCGUCAAAAGGUAAAUGUGCUGUAGGCUGUUAUGCGUUUGCC